UAAUAUAAUAAAGGACAAUUUCUCUUAAAAAAAAAAACGAAAGAUACUACAGUCGUUUCAAACGAUUCCGGUUCGAUACGUAUCUAUGAAUGAUCGAACCGCUGUUUUACCGGUCGCGAAUUUAAAACUGUGAGACAUUUGCAGACGCCAUUUCGAGAACAGGGUAGACACGCCCGGCAUUAAAGUUAUCUAGAACGAAAAAGUGUACAAACAGGGAGAACUUGAAAGAAUUUCAUGUGCGCCGAUAACUAAUGGGGAUGCGUCUUCGUUCGUUCUAUUUCCAGAACCCGCUCCGCAUGAAUCAACACAGAAAUAACCUUUCACAAACGGUAUGUGAAAAUUAUUAUUAUCAACACAUUCGCUCAAAUCCACGUACCGUGAACGGUGAUCUCACUGUACAGAUUAUAAUCUUCACCGGUUGUUAUUAUUCGAGAGUUGAAAAUGUAGACAAAACACCGAUUGUUGCAACGACACGAGUACCAAGUUUAAUCGUACAGACUCGGCGAACGUUCAACGAGCGACUGCGAGAGGGAUCGGGGACGGAGCGGGACGGGCAGGACGAGUGGAGCGGAGGGCGGCGCGGUUCGGCGUGGCUACCAGGCGUGUACCAAGAUAGGGAAUAGGGAUGCCCCAUCAUUUACAUCACGCAAAUAUCGGGCAGCAGAUUGUGAUGCCAAAUAUUAAUUACGAUAAUUAUUUAAACUCUUCAUGACACAACUGUCACCAUUACAGACUCUCGGGAAAAUUUCAAUUACUGGAAUAUAGAGAUAGCAGCGUGGAUUUUAUCAGCUACUCUGUGACAUGAAGUCGAAGGUUCAAUUGUCUUGAAAUCGGCGUCAUUGCUUCGCGACAGUAAUUGGCAGGAUUGUAUCUUGUGCGAACUAAGAACACGUCCUACCAUCAUUUAAUGCAGUUUGCGACGAACAUUACCCAGUAGAAAACGUUUGUUAUAAUUACAACGAGAGUGGAGCGAGCUGCUGGCGAUCACUGCAGCGAUUACUGCCGGCAUGUAACGGUGACGCCGAUGGAAUGCAACUCGGCCAUUGUUCCCUUCAAUACGAAGUAAAAAAAAAAGAAAACUCAAAAGAGCCAUAAUAUAACCGCAUUCUAGAGUGGUCGUGUCUGCAGAGUGUUCGACAGGAUUACUUUUACGAUUGAAUUAAAUAUAAGUUAUUGAAAGAUAAUAAUGAAAUAUCAAAUAUUGUCUAACGAUUACGAAUAAGCUUAUGUGUAAAUGGGAAAAAUAUAUUUCAUCCCGCAGUGAAAAGUAGGUUAAUAACCAGAUAAAAUAUCAGCAACGAUAUUACAGCAUUCGCGUUCUAGCAUUGGCCAAGUGUCAAUGAUCCCGCGAUAUAAGCCGACAGACAUAUUACUGUGUGCGGUCUAGUACGAAACCAAUUGAAAUUAUUGUUCGUGUGGAUUUGAAUAAUUCAGUUGGCCAAUUGUAUUUCUGGAAAAGGUAUCAAUUUCAUUUAGAAUAGGAAUAGAAAAAACUUCAUGCAUCGAUUUACGAUUAUUGCGCAAGAAUCGAAUCACGAUCAAAAAACGGAUUCUGUAGCUGUACCACCGACCUUAGACGAAAACAAAAACCGACAUCAUUAUAAAAAGUGUUUGUUUUAAAUUUGAACAAGAUUUUUGUUUUUGAAACUACACUAAAAAAAACAAGUCUACGUUGAGGAACAAAACUUGAAGAAAACAAAACUAACUCAUCUGAAAAACAGAAAAAAACAUAUUUUUUUUACAUUUUUCUAUUCAUGCAUAAUGUGUAAACAUGACAAUUUACCAGGUCAAUUGUAGUGACGAGGCCUCCUUUGCUUGUCAUGCAUGAUUCAUGCUCUAACUCACAUAAAUAUAUCCUGUCUAACGCACAUCACGUCGACAUAUUUAUGGAAGACGGCUGACGAACUAAGUGAAACUUGAAAUGGUCACUUGAAUGUUUUCAAUUAAAAUUGAUUGAUUCUAAAACUAGUACAUCAAGUCCAUACGCCCACAGUUUCUAUAAAUACAUUUAUGAAU